GAUCUGAUGAUGAGGGUAAUCUCUUAAACCUCUCCUAGUACUCAUAUAAGCUUUCACCAUGUUACUGCCUAAUUCCAGAAAUGUAUUUUCUGAUAGC